rnacentral:rRNA from 1 species
CGCGACACGUGCGUGUGUUUAGAGAAUUAUAGGGUGGAGAGAUAAUACUUGUAAGGGAACUCCACAUGUAGUUUUUAUAAUUUAGGCGAGGUGAAGACCCAUUUAUAAAAAUUUUAUUUGGGUAAUAUUAAUAAAGGGUGGCACAGAAUCGGAGGCCCCGACUGUUUACUUAAAACACAGACAUCUCCAUCGAUUAAUUUCUUUGUAUAGGUGUUGAAUUUUGCCCGAUGCCAUUAAUAUAAGGUUAAUAGGCGCUUUGCCAUUUUAUUUUCUAAAAAUCUGGUCAAUGGCGGUCUUAUCCUGAGGAUCCUAAGGUAGCCGAAUUAAUUGUCCAUUAAAUGUGGUCCCGACUGAAUAAAGUAACGAUGGUCUCACUGUCUGUACAAGUAUCUCAGUGAAAUUGAAUUAGCCGUGAAGAUGCGCGGCU